GCUUAGAAGCAGCCACUCAUUAAAAGAGUGCGUAAUAGCUCACUGGUCGAGUGACCCUGCGCCGAAAAUUCAACGGGGCUAAAAUCUAUACCGAAGCUUGGGCUGCAAUUGAAAGAUUGCGGGGUAGGGGAGCGUCGUAUAAGAGGAGAAGUCAUAGCGGAAGCGAUGGUGGAUUUUAUACGAGUGAGAAUGCCGGAAUGAGUAGCGAGAAUUAUGUGAGAAUCAUAAUGGCCGAAAAUCUAAGGAUUUAGGAGGAAGGUUCGUCCGCUCCUAGUAAGCCGGGAGCUAAGGCGAGGCGGAAACGCGUAGCCGAUGCACAUACGGUAGAAAUUCCGUAGCCUCUGAAAGAUUUAAGCACAAGGACACUUGAGAAGCGUUUAUCCGGGAGUUGGUAUUCCCGGUCGUAAGGGACCCCGAAUGGGGGAAGUAAAUGUGGAUUGAGGCAAGAAAAGUUGUGUGAAUAUCUGAAGAGCCCGUACCGCAAACCGACACAGGUAGAUAGGAAGAGAAUUCUAAGGCCAACGGGAGAAGGGUUGUUAAGGAACUCGGCAAGUUGACUCCGUAACUUAGGGAGAAGGAGUGCUCGAAAGAGCCGCAGAGAAUAGGCCCAAGCGACUGUUUAGCAAAAACACAGCUCUAUGCUAAAUCGAAAGAUGACGUAUAUGGGGUGACACCUGCCCGGUGCUGGAAGGUUAAGAGGAGAAGUGAGAGCUUUGAAUCGAAGCCCCAGUAAACGGCGGCCGUAACUAUAACGGUCCUAAGGUAGCGAAAUUCCUUGUCAGGUAAGUUCUGACCCGCACGAAUGGUGUAACGAUUUGGGCACUGUCUCAACAACCCGCCCGGCGAAAUUGUAGUACCGGUGAAGAUGCCGGUUACCCGCGACUAGACGGAAAGACCCCAUGGAGCUUCACUGUAGCUUAAUAUUGGAUUUUGGUAUUUCAUGUACAGGAUAGGUGGGAGACUGAGAAGCAAAGGCGUCAGCUUUUGUGGAGUCGCUGUUGGGAUACCACUCUUGAAGUGCUGAAAUUCUAACCUGCGCCCUUGAAUCAGGGCGGGGGACAUUGUUAGGUGGGCAGUUUGACUGGGGCGGUCGCCUCCAAAAAGGUAACGGAGGCGCUCAAAGGUUCGCUCAGCAUGGAUGGAAACCAUGCCAGAGAGUGUAAACGCAAAAGCGAGCCUAACUGCGAGACUGACGGGUCGAGCAGUAACGAAAGUUGGAGUUAGUGAUCCGGCGGUAUGUGAGUGGAAAUGCCGUCGCUCAACGGAUAAAAGCUACCCUGGGGAUAACAGGCUGAUCUCCCCCAAGAGUCCACAUCGACGGGGAGGUUUGGCACCUCGAUGUCGGCUCAUCGCAUCCUGGGGCUGUAUUCGGUCCCAAGGGUUUGGCUGUUCGCCAAUUAAAGCGGUACGCGAGCUGGGUUCAGAACGUCGUGAGACAGUUCGGUCCCUAUCUGUCGUGGGCGAAGGAUAUUUGAAAGGAGCUGUCCCUAGUACGAGAGGACCGGGAUGGACGCACCUCUGGUGUACCAGUUGUCACGCCAGUGGCACAGCUGGGCAGCUAAGUGCGGAACGGAUAAACGCUGAAGGCAUCUAAGCGUGAAGCCGGCCUUAAGAUAAGAUAUCCCAUUACGUAAGUAAGUAAGACCCCUCAAAGACUAUGAGGUUGAUAGGUCUGAGGUGUAAGCAUGGCGACAUGUUAAGCCAGCGGAUACUAAUAGGUCGAGGGCUUUUCCUU
rnacentral:rRNA from 1 species